GACGUAGGGGGCGAGCGUUGUCCGGAAUUACUGGGCGUAAAGCGCGUGUAGGCGGCUCUGCAAGUCGGAUGUGAAAUCCCACGGCUCAACCAUGGAAGUGCAUUCGAAACUGCAGGGCUAGAGUUCUGGAGAGGAAGGUGGAAUGCUUGGUGUAGAGGUGAAAUUCGUAGAUAUCAAGCGGAACACCGGUGGCGAAGGCGGCCUUCUGGACAGUAACUGACGCUGAGACGCGAAAGCGUGGGGAGCAAACAGG
rnacentral:rRNA from 1 species